rnacentral:rRNA from 1 species
UGGGGAAUUUUGGACGAAUUGGGCGAAAGCCUGAUCCAGCAAUGCCGCGUGUGUGAAGAAGGCCUUCGGGUUGUAAAGCACUUUUGUCCGGAAAGAAAUCCUUGGCUCUAAUACAGUCGGGGGAUGACGGUACCGGAAGAAUAAGCACCGGCUAACUACGUGCCAGCAGCCGCGGUAAUACGUAGGGUGCAAGCGUUAAUCGGAAUUACUGGGCGUAAAGCGUGCGCAGGCGGUUUGCUAAGACCGAUGUGAAAUCCCCGGGCUCAACCUGGGAACUGCAUUGGUGACUGGCAGGCUAGAGUAUGGCAGAGGGGGGUGAGAAUUCCACGUGUAGCAGUGAAAUGCGUAGAGAUGUGGAGGAAUACCGAUGGCGAAGGCAGCCCCCUGGGCCAAGUACUGACGCUCAUGCACGAAAGCGUGGGGAGCAAAC